rnacentral:rRNA from 1 species
UACGUAGGGGGCUAGCGUUGUCCGGAUUUAUUGGGCGUAAAGAGCGUGUAGGCGGCCAGGUAGGUCUGGUGUGAAAACUCGAGGCUUAACCUCGAGAUGUCAUCGGAAACCAUCUGGCUAGAGUCCGGAAGAGGAGAGUGGAAUUCCUGGUGUAGCGGUGAAAUGCGCAGAUAUCAGGAAGAACACCAAUGGCGAAAGCAGCUCUCUGGGACGGUACUGACGCUGAUGCGCGAAAGCCAGGGGAGCGAACGGG